rnacentral:rRNA from 4 species
UGAGGAAUAUUGGUCAAUGGACGAGAGUCUGAACCAGCCAAGUAGCGUGAAGGAUGACUGCCCUAUGGGUUGUAAACUUCUUUUAUACGGGAAUAAAGUGAGGCACGUGUGCCUUUUUGUAUGUACCGUAUGAAUAAGGAUCGGCUAACUCCGUGCCAGCAGCCGCGGUAAUACGGAGGAUCCGAGCGUUAUCCGGAUUUAUUGGGUUUAAAGGGAGCGUAGGCGGACGCUUAAGUCAGUUGUGAAAGUUUGCGGCUCAACCGUAAAAUUGCAGUUGAUACUGGGUGUCUUGAGUACAGUAGAGGCAGGCGGAAUUCGUGGUGUAGCGGUGAAAUGCUUAGAUAUCACGAAGAACUCCGAUUGCGAAGGCAGCCUGCUGGACUGUAACUGACGCUGAUGCUCGAAAGUGUGGGUAUCAAACAGG